AUCCGUGGUGAUUAUGGCCAUGUUGUUUAUCAGGUCUCAUGGCCUAGUUUCCUCGGAUUU
rnacentral:pre_miRNA from 1 species